rnacentral:rRNA from 1 species
UCGAGAAUUUUUGACAAUGGGGGAAACCCUGAUCGAGCGACGCCGCGUGGAGGAUGAAGGUCUUCGGGUUGUAAACUCCUGUCAUUUGAGAACAAGGUGCACCGGUUAACUGCCGGUGCAUUGAUAGUAUCAGAAGAGGAAGGGACGGCUAACUCUGUGCCAGCAGCCGCGGUAAUACAGAGGUCCCAAGCGUUGUUCGGAUUCAUUGGGCGUAAAGGGUGUGUAGGUGGCGCCGUAAGUGGGGUGUGAAAUCUCGGGGCUUAACUCCGAAACUGCAUUCCAUACUGCGGUGCUUGAGGACUGGAGAGGAGACUGGAAUUCAUGGUGUAGCAGUGAAAUGCGUAGAGAUCAUGAGGAAGACCAGUGGCGAAGGCGGGUCUCUGGACAGUUCCUGACACUGAGACACGAAGGCCAGGGGAGCAAACGG